GAUGAACGCUGGCGGCGUGCUUAACACAUGCAAGUCGAACGGAAAGGCCCGGCGUUGGUGGGGUGGACGAGUGGCGAACGGGUGAGUAACACGUGAGUAACCUGCCCCUGACUCUGGGAUAACUGCUGGAAACUGCGGCUAAUACCGGAUAGGAGCUCCUGAGGCAUGGUGGGCGUUGGAAAGAUACGGCGGUUGGGGAUGGGCUCGCGGCCUAUCAGCUUGUUGGUGGGGUAGGGGCUUACCAAGGCGUUGACGGGUAGCCGGCCUGAGAGGGUGACCGGCCACACUGGGACUGAGAUACGGCCCAGACUCCUACGGGAGGCAGCAGUGGGGAAUAUUGCACAAUGGGCGGAAGCCUGAUGCAGCAACGCCGCGUGCGGGAUGACGGCCUUCGGGUUGUAAACCGCUUUCGCCUGUGACGAAGCGUGAGUGACGGUACCGGGUAAAAAAGCACCGGCUAACUACGUG
rnacentral:rRNA from 1 species